UAAUCUCUCUGGCUAAAAAGAAAAAUACAUAUAGUCAAAUCAUACAGCUGCUGCAAUUAAAAGAGAAAAAUGUGGAUAAAAUAAUGCAACCACUGGAGAAUGUUUAAAUGUUUAUUUUCAUGUUAAAAAGGAUGAGUUACCCUGUGGUUAGAAUAUACCUUUAUGCUGAAAAACAAAGUCACUUUAUUUCUGAAAUAGUUCUGGGAAAAAAAAAAAAAAGAAAGAAAAAAGGAAAAAGAAAUCCAAAAGUAAGGAAGAGUAAGAUCAAAAUGUUCUGGCAGAUUCCAUCCACAGUCCCAACAGAAGCCAUGCCCUCUAAAGGCUGCAUCUUUAAUUCAGUGCAUUUCACGAUGUCAGGUUCUGAUGUUUCCCACCAUCAGUUUAGAUAUUUCUGAGCGGGAUGUCUGUACAUUUAAAAGCUACAGCUUUGCAUGCUUUUAUUUGAAAAGGUAUUUAUUCCAACACACCUUUCAGUGUUUCAGUAUAUUGCCUAUAUUACAUACAAAAAUAUCUGCUAUCCAUAUUUGAGCAUAACUUUUCCACCACCCAUACUGUUCCUUUACAUAACAGGUGACACGCGAUACAUUACACAUAGUACAAUUUUGAGGGAGAAGAUGGUUGCUGGGUUUAUAGACCACCUAUCUUGUCAUGUGCAGAGACUAGAAUGGAGAUCUGAGGCUGUUGAUGAGAGCAGAAAGGUGAUGAAAGAAGGAUUCAGAUGGAACCACCCUCUGUGGUCAGUAGGGUUGGAAUGAGUGGUCUUCCCUGACAGAAACUUUAUUGUGGUCCCAACGUCCCAACAUUGGGAAGACAUUUUUCUAAAAGAGUGAGAUGAGACAGCUGAUCAACAUGCACAAUUCCUAAAACUUAAAAUUACCCAGGUACAAAAUACUUCUUCCACGGAUGUGGCAAUGGGACAAAAGUUAAUCCAUUUUUUCCCUGCAUUAAUUUUUUAUAAAUAAAAAGCUCUCUGCCUACAGUCUAAGCAUGAUUACAGUCUGGGAAUGCAUGCUGGCCAGUGUGCAACAGAAAACCACCAGGGGUCAAUGAUUCUCUCUUAGUUCACACGGAGUAUUCUGAGGUCAGCUACCUUGUGAGUUCUUUGAGGAAAGUUUCUGGGAAAACUUUAUCUUUUCUUUUUGUUUUCUCUCAAAUGUAACACUGCAGGUUUAAACUCCAGUAAUUUUGUGUGGCAGCUGCUCCUUGAAAGCUGUACGCUGGCCUGGAGGCAGCAGUUUCACAUCCUCCAUGGUUGUAGGUUACCUGGUCCUCACAUGGCAUCUGAAUUGCCCCUCGUGUGAUUCACAGAGCUCACAGCCUGCUGUCCCCAUUAGAGGCUGCUGGUGUCUGCCUCGGGGGGAGCCUGAGCAUCCCGUUUUUAUGGGAGAGAAAGGGAUUCUAUCUACAUCAUUUAUUUCAGGCUAUUGACACCAAUCUUUUGCAUGUCACAGCCAUUAAAAACCUGGAAAAUCCAGGCAAAUGCAUGCCUCCCCCCUCCCAGAGAAUCCUAUUUCAAGACUUACUUAAUUUACAUCAUUCCCCCUAUUCUAGUUUAAAUAUUUUGGAAGUAUAGUUCCUAUUUGUUUUAAAUUAACCAGGUUGGAAAUCAAGCAGAUAUAGCACAUGGAUUCUAGUCAGUAGGAAGUAU
ensembl:lncRNA